rnacentral:rRNA from 1 species
GAUCCUGGCUCAGGAUGAACGCUAGCUACAGGCUUAACACAUGCAAGUCGAGGGGCAGCAUGGACCCAGCUUUGCUGGGUUUGAUGGCGACCGGCGCACGGGUGAGUAACGCGUAUCCAACCUGCCCUUUACUCCGGGAUAGUCUCCUGAAAGGGAGUUUAAUACCGGAUGUGUUUGUCUUUCCGCAUGGGAGCGACAAAUAAGAUUAAUUGUAAAGGAUGGGAUGCGUCCCAUUAGCUUGUUGGCGGGG